GACGAACGCUGGCGGCGUGCUUAAUACAUGCAAGUCGAACGGAAAGGCCCUGCUCUUGUGGGGUGCUCGAGUGGCGAACGGGUGUGUAACACGCGAGUAACCUGUCCCUGUCUUUGGGAUAACUUCAGGAAACUGGGGCUAUUACCGGAUAGGAGCUCCUGCUGCAUGGUGGGCGUUGGAAAGUUUCGGCGGUUGGGGAUGGUCUGGCAGCUUAUCAGCUUCUUGGUGGGGUAGUGGCUUACCAAGGCUUUGACGGGUAGCCGGCCUGAGAGGGUGACCGGCCACAUGGGGACUGAGGGAGGGAGCAGACUCCUACGGGAGGCAGCAGGGGAGAAUAUUACGCAAUGGGCGGAAGCCUGAUACAGCGACGCCGCGUGCGGGAUGACGGCCUUCGGGUUGUAAACCGCUUUCGCCUGUGACGAAGCGUGAGUGACGGUAAUGGGUAAGGAAGCACCGGCUAACUACGUG
rnacentral:rRNA from 1 species